UACGUAGGGUGCGAGCGUUGUCCGGAAUUAUUGGGCGUAAAGAGCUCGUAGGCGGUGUGUCACGUCGAUCGUGAAAACUUACAGCUUAACUGUGAGCGUGCGGUCGAUACGGGCAUCACUGGAGUUCGGCAGGGGAGACUGGAAUUCCUGGUGUAGCGGUGAAAUGCGCAGAUAUCAGGAGGAACACCGGUGGCGAAGGCGGGUCUCUGGGCCGAUACUGACACUGAGGAGCGAAAGCGUGGGGAGCGAACAGG
rnacentral:rRNA from 1 species